AGAUCUUCUGGCUAUAGUUUGUUUGAACUUCUAUUCUUUAAGAUCAAAAUACAAACAAUUAUCAGAAGAUUUC